CCUACGGGUGGCAGCAGUGGGGAAUAUUGGACAAUGGGGGGAACCCUGAUCCAGCCAUGCCGCGUGUGUGAAGAAGGCCCUCGGGUUGUAAAGCACUUUCAGUGAGGAAGAACGCCUGGUGGUUAAUACCCAUCAGGAAAGACAUCACUCACAGAAGAAGCACCGGCUAACUCCGUGCCAGCAGCCGCGGUAAUACGGAGGGUGCGAGCGUUAAUCGGAAUUACUGGGCGUAAAGCGCGCGUAGGUGGCUUGAUAAGCCGGUUGUGAAAGCCCCGGGCUCAACCUGGGAACGGCAUCCGGAACUGUCAAGCUAGAGUGCAGGAGAGGAAGGUAGAAUUCCCGGUGUAGCGGUGAAAUGCGUAGAGAUCGGGAGGAAUACCAGUGGCGAAAGCGGCCUUCUGGACUGACACUGACACUGAGGUGCGAAAGCGUGGGUAGCAAACAGGAUUAGAUACCCUGGUAGUC
rnacentral:rRNA from 1 species